GAAAUGCGAUAAUUAAUGUGAAUUGCAGAAUUCAGUGAAUCAUCGAGUCUUUGAACGCACAUUGCGCCCCUGGUAUUCCGGGGGGCAUGCCUGUCCGAGCGUCAUUGCUGCCCUCAAGCACGGCUUGUGUGUUGGGCUUCCGUCCCUGGCAACGGGGACGGGCCCAAAAGGCAGUGGCGGCACCAUGUCUGGUCCUCGAGCGUAUGGGGCUUUGUCACCCGCUCCCGUAGGUCCAGCUGGCAGCUAGCCUCGCAACCAAUCUUUUUAACCAGGUUGACCUCGGAUCAGGUAGGGAUACCCGCUGAACUUAAGC
rnacentral:misc_RNA from 1 species